rnacentral:tRNA from 1 species
UGGUCCGGUAGUUAAACGGUUAUAAUUCCGCCCUGUCACGGCGGCGUUCGGGGUUCGAUUCCCCGUCGGACCGCCAU